rnacentral:rRNA from 1 species
AGUGAACGCUGGCGGUAGGCCUAACACAUGCAAGUCGAACGGCAGCACAGUAAGAGCUUGCUCUUACGGGUGGCGAGUGGCGGACGGGUGAGGAAUACAUCGGAAUCUACUUUUUCGUGGGGGAUAACGUAGGGAAACUUACGCUAAUACCGCAUACGACCUACGGGUGAAAGCAGGGGAUCUUCGGACCUUGCGCGAUUGAAUGAGCCGAUGUCGGAUUAGCUAGUUGGCGGGGUAAAGGCCCACCAAGGCGACGAUCCGUAGCUGGUCUGAGAGGAUGAUCAGCCACACUGGAACUGAGACACGGUCCAGACUCCUACGGGAGGCAGCAGUGGGGAAUAUUGGACAAUGGGCGAAAGCCUGAUCCAGCCAUACCGCGUGGGUGAAGAAGGCCUUCGGGUUGUAAAGCCCUUUUGCUGGGAAAGAAAAGCAGCAGGUUAAUACCCCGCUGUUCUGACGGUACCCAAAGAAUAAGCACCGGCUAACUUCGUG